GAUGAAGAACGCAGCGAAAUGCGAUAAGUAAUGUGAAUUGCAGAAUUCAGUGAAUCAUCGAAUCUUUGAACGCACAUUGCGCCCUCUGGUAUUCCGGGGGGCGUGCCUGUUCGAGCGUCAUUAUAACCACUCAAGCUCUCGCUUGGUAUUGGGGUUCGCGGUUCCGCGGCCCCUAAAAUCAGUGGCGGUGCCUGUCGGCUCUACGCGUAGUAAUACUCCUCGCGAUUGAGUCCGGUAGGUCUACUUGCCAGCAACCCCCAAUUUUUACAGGUUGACCUCGGAUCAGGUAGGGAUACCCGCUGAACUUAAGCAUAUCAAUAGCGGAGGA
rnacentral:misc_RNA from 1 species